UCAAGUGACUAAGUGCAUGUGGCGGAUGCCUUGGCGAUCACAGGCGAAGAAAGACGCGGCAGCCUGCGAAAAGCUGCGGGGAGCUGGCAAACGAGCUUUGAUCCGCAGAUAUCUGAAUGGGGGAACCCACACCGCAAGGUGUAUCCGUGACUGAAUACAUAGGUUACGGAGGCGAACGAGGAGAACUGAAACAUCUAAGUAUCCUCAGGAAAAGAAAUCAACCGAGAUUCCGGCAGUAGCGGCGAGCGAACCCGGAGGAGCCUAGCUUUUGAUAGUACGAACUUUAGCCGAAAGGUCCUGGAAAGGCCUGCUAUAGUGGGUGAUAGCCCCGUAGGCGAAAGAGUUCGUAUGGUACUAAGGAAGCGAGAAGUAGAGCGGGACACGUGGAAUCCUGUUCGAAGAUGGGGGGACCAUCCUCCAAGGCUAAAUACUCGUGAUCGACCGAUAGUGAACCAGUACCGUGAGGGAAAGGCGAAAAGAACCCCGGGAGGGGAGUGAAAUAGAACCUGAAACCGCAUGCAUACAAACAGUAGGAGCCUCGUCAGAGGUGACUGCGUACCUUUUGCAUAAUGGGUCAGCGACUUACAUUCUGUGGCGAGCUUAACCGAAUAGGGGAGGCGCAGCGAAAGCGAGUUCGAAAUGAGCGUCCAGUCGCAGGGUGUAGACCCGAAACCAGAUGAGCUAUCCAUGGCCAGGUUGAAGGUGUGGUAACACACACUGGAGGACCGAACCGACUAGUGUUGCAAAAUUAGCGGAUGAGCUGUGGAUAGGGGUGAAAGGCCAAACAAAUCUGGAGAUAGCUGGUUCUCCCCGAAAACUAUUGAGGUAGUGCCUCGUGUGUCGCUCCAGGGGGUAGAGCACUGUUUUGGCUAGGGGGACAUGGAGUCUUACCAAACCAAGGCAAACUCCGAAUACCUGGAAGCGUGAGCACGGGAGACAGAGCACCGGGUGCUAACGUCCGGACUCAAAAGGGAAACAACCCAGACCGCCGGCUAAGGUCCCCAAUAACAGCUAAGUGGAAAACGAAGUGGAAAGGCCGUGACAACCAGGAAGUUGGCUUAGAAGCAGCCAUCCUUCAAAGAAAGCGUAAUAGCUCACUGGUCGAGUCCUUCUGCGCGGAAGAUGUAACGGGGCUAAGCUGUUAACCGAAGCCGCGGAUGCACUGGUUAUCCAGUGCGUGGUAGGGGAGCGUUCUGUAAGUCUGCGAAGGCGGUUCGAGAGGACUGCUGGAGAUAUCAGAAGUGCGAAUGCUGACAUGAGUAACGUUAAAGCAGGUGAAAAGCCUGCUCGCCGUAAGCCCAAGGAUUCCUGCUCUACGUUCAUCGGAGCAGGGUGAGUCGGCUCCUAAGGUCAGGCCGAAAGGCGUAGCCGAUGGGAAUCAGGUUAAUAUUCCUGAACCUGCGUCAGAUGCGAUGGGGGGACGGAGCAUGAAAGAUCAUCCGGGUGUUGGAUGUCCCGGUUGACGAGCGUAGGAGGUCUGCAGGCAAAUCCGCAGACGCAUCUCCAAGGCAAAGACACGUGCCGCCACGGCGGCGAAGUGAUCGGAAGUGCUUCCAAGAAAAGCCUCUAAGCACCAGUCUGGCGCGGACCGUACCGCAAACCGACACUGGUGGGCGAGCUGAAUAUGCUCAGGCGCUUGAGAGAACUCGGGAGAAGGAACUCGGCAAAUUGACACCGUAACUUCGGAAGAAGGUGUGCCGUAGUACCGUGAGAGGAGAGACACCUUGAGCGGGAAUCGGUCUCAGAGAAUAGGUGGCUGCGACUGUUUAUUAAAAACACAGCACUCUGCAAAGUCGAAAGACGACGUAUAGGGUGUGAUGCCUGCCCGGUGCUGGAAGAUUAAUUGAUGGGGUGAGAGCCCUUGAUCGAAGUCCCAGUAAACGGCGGCCGUAACUAUAACGGUCCUAAGGUAGCGAAAUUCCUUGUC
rnacentral:rRNA from 1 species